rnacentral:rRNA from 1 species
GCAAGUCGAACGGCAGCGCGGGUCAGCCUGGCGGCGAGUGGCGAACGGGUGAGUAAUAUAUCGGAACGUACCCAAGAGUGGGGGAUAACGUAUCGAAAGUUACGCUAAUACCGCAUACGAUCUAAGGAUGAAAGCAGGCGAUCUUCGGACCUUUUGCUCCUGGAGCGGCCGAUAUCUGAUUAGCUAGUUGGUGAGGUAAAGGCUCACCAAGGCCACGAUCAGUAGCUGGUCUGAGAGGACGACC